rnacentral:lncRNA from 10 species
CAGACUGUGCAUCUGGAAUCUUUCUUGCUGCAGAAAAGUAUGCACCUUCCAAACGAUGGCAUAUAGACACAAUUAUGCGUGUUUUGACAACGGUAAGUAGCUUCUUUCAGACAGCAUAUACGAAGUGCUGGGAUAUACUGAUGUUAUCAUGAAGUUUAUGUUCUAGUCAGGGAGGUAAGAAAUUCACAAGUAAAUAGGUAACAUUAAUGUCAGUUAGGAAUAAAUGCCAUGAAGAAAAACCUAAAGCAGCAUGGAGGAAUAUAAUGAUGGCAGGAUAAGGUGGGAUAUAGGGCAACUGGCCAAGUGUUUUAGAUUAGAGUUAGUCAGGGAGGUCUCUCAGAGGAGAUAACAUUUG